AAGCACAUAAAAAACCUGACCAAAACCGUUGUGGCUUAGUUCUCAUAAAAUCCCUGUCAAUCCCUGAUCAGGUCUCUGCUGCAGCGUCGCUGACAUGACGCUCUAAUGUCACUAAUCUCUUAAAGGGGUAGUGAACUGAAUUUUCUGUCUGCAUACUUUUAAUCUUUGAACGUUAAAUUGCUGUUUUAACAUUUUUAAUAUUUUUAAUUCUGAUGAAUAAACUUCAUUAAAUGAA